AAAACGACUCUCGGCAACGGAUAUCUCGGCUCUCGCAUCGAUGAAGAACGUAGCGAAAUGCGAUACUUGGUGUGAAUUGCAGAAUCCCGUGAACCAUCGAGUCUUUGAACGCAAGUUGCGCCCUAAGCCAUUCGGCCGAGGGCACGUCUGCCUGGGCGUCAAUC
rnacentral:rRNA from 4 species